AGUCCAUGGUGCAAACAUUUUAUAAUCAUUUCCUUGAAUCUCUCUCAUGCUUCGAAGAACGAUUCUCCAUGUGCCUAAAGAAGGUAAUUUGGUUUCUUAGAUG